rnacentral:rRNA from 1 species
CCUACGGGAGGCAGCAGUAGGGAAUAUUGGUCAAUGGGCGAGAGCCUGAACCAGCCAUGCCGCGUGCAGGAAGAAGGCCCUCUGGGUUGUAAACUGCUUUUGACAGGGGCCAAAAUACUCAUGCGUGAGGAAUUGAGAGUACCUGUAGAAUAAGCACCGGCUAACUCCGUGCCAGCAGCCGCGGUAAUACGGAGGGUGCAAGCGUUGUCCGGAUUUAUUGGGUUUAAAGGGUGCGUAGGUGGCCUUAUAAGUCAGUGGUGAAAGCCUGCAGCUUAACUGUAGGACUGCCAUUGAUACUGUAGGGCUUGAGUACUGAUGAGGUAGGCGGAAUUGAUAGUGUAGCGGUGAAAUGCAUAGAUAUUAUCAAGAACACCGAUUGCGAAGGCAGCUUACUAAGGAGUUACUGACACUGAGGCACGAAAGCGUGGGGAUCAAACAGGAUUAGAUACCCUGGUAGUCCACGCCAUAAACGAUGAUUACUCGAUGUAUGCGAUAGAUAGUAUGCGUCCAAGCGAAAGCGUUAAGUAAUCCACCUGGGAGUACGACCGCAAGGUUGAAACUUAAAUGAAUUGACGGCUGAGAGNGCGAGGCGACACGAGGGAGUAGG